UGUUUUCCUCUAAACAGAUGUUUUCUUCAGCCCUCUGACUAUCUCUGAAUGAUAGACCUACCUAGCUCCUGAAUACCCCCUUCUCCACUCAGUUUCUACUCUGAAGUUCAGUAAAUGAGUGUGGUGGGGAUACUUAAGCCAAUUAGCAGAGGCAACCCUCUUUAUAUUCCUGGGUCUAAGUAUCUCUUAUUACUGCUGGUGCAUGUCCAUGGAGGAGAACAGGGCUGUUUCCACUUGCCCUGUGGCUGUCUUGCUAUAAUUCAUCUUCUGUUUUGAAACUACUGAACCUGUGGCAGCAAUGGAAAGCCAAGCUAAUGAAACCUAGUGUCAAGAUUGAUACAUCUUAAAGGACAAUGUGGCAGUUGAGACUCCUGACUGGUGCAGGUUCAUCUGGGUUAUCUAGUUGUUGUCCAUGGUCUUGUUAGCAGGUUUAAUUUCUCCCCUCUUGGUAUUUGGAUAAUGAGAUAUAACAGGAGGGGAAACAAACUUUUACCAGUAAUAUUAUAGCUUUGCUGGAAUACUUACACCUACCCUGGAGGUUUCUGUCAGCACAGCUAUGUGGGUCACACCUCUUCAGACUUCCACUAGAAGUGCACCACAGACCUGGCCUCAGAUGCAUACAGUCUAAGUAAAGAAGACCAGCAAAGGAAGUGGGGGAAGAAAAGAUGUAUUUGGUUUAUUUUAUAGAAAAGGAACUGAGGUACAGAGAAGUUAAGCUACCAAGGAAGUUGGGGAAGUCUGUAAAAGAGCAAGGAAUUGAACCUAGAUUUUCUGCAGUUCUACAGUGCUUUGAGACCACACUUCCUCUUAAUAUAUGGAUUAUUUCCAUUGUUUUUAAAGAAGCAGAAGCAUGUUUGGGUUUCACACAGAAAUGGAGCCUAGCUGUGGAAGACCCUAUGGGUAUGUUUGUAUGUGGAAUGUAUGAAUAAUGGAUUGAGGGGAAGAACAUGGGAAGCAAAUUUCCUGUGCCCCUGAUUCCCAUUUGACCAUUCUUGCCAGGUUUUUCCAACUCAUUAGACUUGGCUGUAACUUGGCUAAGCAGAGAAACUCAGCAUUUCAGCCACUAUUUUUUUGACUAUAUGCCACUAUGUCUUCAUGGCCAUCAAUACCCAACCUAACUACGUUAAAGCUUAAUUUAGUUUUAUAUCUGCCCCUCCCAUAUAGAUAUACUCCAUGUUCUAUGCUUGCCACAACUCUGGUAUGCCAUGGAUUUAAUUGAGAAAUAGCAGAAGGCAGGACAUCAUUCAGGGAAAAACCAACCAUUGCUUUUUACCACAGUACACUUUAGAAGAAGAUUCCAGGCUUUUUUAUUUCUACUUGAAUGGUAGUUGCAUAUUCAUAUUAAGUUUUCUUCUGUCACUUUUAAUGGGAGGAAUUUGUUUAUUAGGGUUCAUGUCAACUCAUGCCCUAGUCUUAUUGUCUUGUAUAAAUGUGUAGUUCUGUUUACUUUGCAAAGGUUCCCUUGAGCCUGGCACCAAGAGUUGCUAUAGUCAUUAUUAGUAGCAGUGGUUGUGGUUCCAAAUCUUAUACUGUACUUUCCUCCCAGGAUACCUUUAGAAAAUUUUAGUACAUGGAAAGUGAUACCUUUAUUAUGAGUGUUUAUAUAAAUGGUUUAAUAUAACUGUGAAGCAAGGUUUAUUUGAAGCUAAAUGAAACCUAUUUAAGUCCAUGGACUUACAUCAGAGAUAAAUUUGGCCCAAUAA